CGAACGACUUUAUUUCGAACUUCUUCCAGACUUCGUCAAUGUCUGAGCUUCUCCAACAGUAGAACUUCUACAGUAACAAGACUCCAUCCAAGUUUCUACGAUGGUCGACCACCUUUCGGAUUUCGUCCGAGCUCCUACAAGAGCCGGAUCCCAGCCGAACUUCUACAGCGGAUGGAUUCCAGAUAAAUUUCUACAACGGACGGGCUCCACCAGCUGGAUCUCUACUCCAAACUUCUAUUGCAAGUGGACUUCAUCCGAGCUUCUACAACAAGAAGUCUUCAUUCGAGCUUCUAUGGCAACCGAUCUUCGUCCGAGCUUCUAUAAUAAGCGGCCUCCUUUCAGACUCCUACAAGAGCCGAACUCCAUCCGAACUUCUACGACAGAAUGAAAUUUUGGACUCCUCCAAUGUUUGACCUUCCACAGUGUCCUCAAGACUUCUCCAGUGGACAAACCU
rnacentral:lncRNA from 1 species